CCGAAAUGUGCCUUGGUU
rnacentral:miRNA from 1 species